CUAAUACAUGCAAGUAGAACGCUGAGAACUGGUGCUUGCACCGGUUCAAGGAGUUGCGAACGGGUGAGUAACGCGUAGGUAACCUACCUCAUAGCGGGGGAUAACUAUUGGAAACGAUAGCUAAUACCGCAUAAGAGAGACUAACGCAUGUUAGUAAUUUAAAAGGGGCAAUUGCUCCACUAUGAGAUGGACCUGCGUUGUAUUAGCUAGUUGGUGAGGUAAAGGCUCACCAAGGCGACGAUACAUAGCCGACCUGAGAGGGUGAUCGGCCACACUGGGACUGAGACGCGGCCCAGACUCCAUACGGGAGGCAGCAGUAGGGAAUCUUCGGCAAUGGGGGCAAACCUGAGUGAGCAACGCCGACGUGAGUGAAGAAGGUUUUCCGAUCGUAAAGCUUUGUUGUUAGAGAAGAAUGAUCGUGGGAGUGGAAAAUCCACCAAGUGACGGUAACUAACCAGAAAGGGACGGCUAACUACGUGCCAGCAGCCGCGGUAAUACGUAGGUCCCGAGCGUUGUCCGGAUUUAUUGGGCGUAAAGCGAGCGCAGGCGGUUUUUUAAGUCUGAAGUUAAAGGCAUUGGCUCAACCAAUGUACGCUUUGGAAACUGGAGAACUUGAGUGCAGAAGGGGAGAGUGGAAUUCCAUGUGUAGCGGUGAUAUGCGUAGAUAUAUGGAGG
rnacentral:rRNA from 1 species